rnacentral:misc_RNA from 1 species
UGCGAUCAGUAAUGUGAAUUGCAGAAUUCAGUGAAUCAUCGAAUCUUUGAACGCACAUUGCGCCCGCCAGUAUUCUGGCGGGCAUGCCUGUUCGAGCGUCAUUACAACCCUCAGGCCCCCGGGCCUGGCGUUGGGGAUCGGCGGAAGCCCCCUGCGGGCACAACGCCGUCCCCCAAAUACAGUGGCGGUCCCGCCGCAGCUUCCAUUGCGUAGUAGCUAACACCUCGCAACUGGAGAGCGGCGCGGCCACGCCGUAAAACACCCAACUUCUGAAUGUUGACCUCGAAUCAGGUAGGAAUACCCGCUGAACUUAAGC